rnacentral:rRNA from 1 species
AAACCAGCACCUCAAGUGGUCAGGAGGAUUAUUGGGCCUAAAGCAUCCGUAGCCUGUUCUGUAAGUUUUCGGUUAAAUCCAUUAGCUCAACUAAUGGGCCGCCGAAAAUACUGUAGAACUAGGGAGUGGGAGAGGUAGACGGUAUUCGGUAGGAAGGGGUAAAAUCCUUUGAUCUAUUGAUGACCACCUGUGGCGAAGGCGGUCUACCAGAACACGUUCGACGGUGAGGGAUGAAAGCUGGGGGAGCAAACCGGAUUAGAAACCCGAGUAGUCC